rnacentral:rRNA from 1 species
AACGAACGCUGGCGGCAGGCUUAACACAUGCAAGUCGAACGGGCACCUUCGGGUGUCAGUGGCAGACGGGUGAGUAACGCGUGGGAACGUACCCUUCGGUUCGGAAUAACCCAGGGAAACUUGGGCUAACACCGGAUACGUCCGCAAGGAGAAAGAUUUAUCGCCGAAGGAUCGGCCCGCGUCGGAUUAGCUAGUUGGUGGGGUAAUGGCCCACCAAGGCGACGAUCCGUAGCUGGUCUGAGAGGAUGANCAGCCACACUGGGACUGAGACACGGCCCAGACUCCUACGGGAGGCAGCAGUGGGGAAUAUUGGACAAUGGGCGAAAGCCUGAUCCAGCCAUGCCGCGUGAGUGAAGAAGGCCUUAGGGUUGUAAAGCUCUUUCAGCGGGAAGAUAAUGACGGUACCCGCAGAAGAAGUCCCGGCUAACUUCGUGCCAGCAG